rnacentral:rRNA from 1 species
UACGUAGGCAGCGAGCGUUGUUCGGAAUUACUGGGCGUAAAGAGUGUGUAGGCGGUGCUCUAAGUUCGGUGUGAAAUCUCCUGGCUUAACUGGGAGGGUGCGCCGGAAACUGGAGUGCUCGAGCGUGGGAGAGGAAAGCGGAAUUCCUGGUGUAGCGGUGAAAUGCGUAGAUAUCAGGAGGAACACCUGUGGUGUAGACGGCUUUCUGGACCAUAGCUGACGCUGAGACACGAAAGCGUGGGUAGAAAACAGG